UACGAAGGGGGCUAGCGUUGCUCGGAAUUACUGGGCGUAAAGCGCACGUAGGCGGCUUUCUAAGUCAGGGGUGAAAUCCUGGAGCUCAACUCCAGAACUGCCUUUGAUACUGGGAAGCUCGAGUCCGGAAGAGGUGAGUGGAACUCCGAGUGUAGAGGUGAAAUUCGUAGAUAUUAGGAAGAACACCAGUGGCGAAGGCGGCUCACUGGCCCGGUACUGACGCUGAGGCGCGAAAGCGUGGGGAGCAAACAGG
rnacentral:rRNA from 1 species